UAUAAUUUGGUAAAUUUAUUUUGAAACCAAGUAAGUAGUAAACCAUUUUUAUUUUCCUUUUUUUACCUUUCUAAAUACCUGUAUCCAUCCUUAGGUACCCCUGAUACUUUAGCCCUGAGAAUUAGUCAUUUACACUUAUAGGUGUUAUUUUAGAAAAAGGUUUUAAACCCAUCAAUUUUUAAUAGACAAAGCAUCCAUUAACUUUGCAUUAUUGUAUUGUAGAAUUCGUUAGCAAAUUAAUAGCUAGGUACUACACCUCAGUGUCCGUCAAAUCUAUGUAAACAAUGUUAUUCACUAGUACCUAUAUCCGCAUGAGUCACGUGUCAAGCUUAUCAGUACAUAUCAGUACCGAGAAUUCACCUGAUACAGGUACGAUGAUAAACACAGGCCAAUAAAAAUAUCAUCAAUCGAACUUACGAAGCCGAAGAGAAGCCAUUGAGUUUGUCUCUUGUUUGAAAAGUAGAAUUUGUGUUGUGAUUUUAAAGCAAGAAAUGGAGGUGCCUCCUCACAUGAUACCUUGUGGGCCACUGUGCGGCAGAGGUCACUGCCUACCCCACUGCUCCCACUACAGAAUCCAUACGUUCGUUCCGCCCCCGCCGGUGCAUCACAACUAUCCCCCGCCCCCACCUCACCACUAUCCCCCACCACAUCAUCAUCAUCAUCACCCGCCACCUCCGUUCCAUCCUCCACCGCCCCCGCAUCAUCCACCACCCCCGCAUCAUCCACCACCGCCCCACCACUCUCCUUUCCACAGCCUGCUGCGUUAAUAUGAAAACUGUGAAAUACCUCUAGCAUAACAUUGACGACAACUUUUUAUUGACAAAAGGAUAGAAAGAUUAACCGUCCUUUUAUAGACAUAUACCUAUGAACAUUUAUGGACAUUAAAAGUAAUCUCUUUUUUAAUACUUUCUGUCACGAUGCUUGAACGAUUAUAAUUUAUUUUUAUUUCUCCUUUAUCCCUUUUCUUUUUCCUGAGAUGCAGCUGAUUAAUUCUUAUUUUACUCAUUGUAUCUGAGCUGUUAUGUAUACCUACUUAUUAUUCAUUAAAAAGAAAUAUCGUCAAUUCUUCUAAGAAUUUUAAUGAAUUUUUUUCUAAAAAUAUAUAAAGUAAUAUUUGUACCUA